CGCGAUAAUCAACGCACAUCCUCUUGGUCUUGUCUUUCUUUUCCACAAAGAUAACCGGAGCACCCCAAGGUGAAGUACUCGGUCGGAUGUACCCUUUCUGCAGCUGUUCGUCAACCUGCUUUUUGACUUUUGCUAGCUCAUUAGCUGCCAUUCUGUACGGCCUCUUGUAGAUUGGAGCAGUUCCGGGUGCCAGAUCAAUCUGGAACUCGAUUUCUCUCUUCGGUGGCAUUGUAGUGAGGUCUUCUGGGAACACCUCAGGAUACUCUUGUACUAUAGGUAUAUCCUCCAACUUCUUGGGAUUCCACUAAAAUUAUUUCCAAGGCUCUGAAAAUUCCACUAAAAUUCCUGUUAGCAUAUUUUGACAUGUAGAAUCCAAGAAAAAUUCCACAUGCCGAUUCCAAGAAAAAUUCUCUCUUGCCUUUAAACAAAUAAUUUCUUGCGACAAUUUAUUAAUUAAAUUUUUGCUAGGGAGAAGAACUUCAGGGCGUGACAGUAUUCAAAUCCUAGUUUCGCCACUGCAAUCACGGAUGGAGGGAGCUGCAAGGUACUUUAACAGCAAAAUAUGCCCUUAUUCAAGUGAUAAAAUGACCUGCGCAAAAACUGCGACAUCCUCUGUUGAUUGCAAUCACGGGAAGGUUGCAUUUGCAAAUCCGUUUGGAGGGGCCAAGCAAACUUACUCGUCCAGUACAACCACGAAGUGCCCACAUUGUGUGGAAUCCCGUAAUGCCGAGAUAGCUGCAGCCAUCCGAGCCAAAUCUAUCAAGGCUUCGAAGCUGGCACAUUUCGCUUUAACUGUUACGAUGUCAGUAGCAGCUUAUAUGGUCACUCUAAAAAUCAUUGCCAAACCUCAAAAAGAAAAAAAACAUUGCCAAACCUGCCGAUGCUGCAAAUCCUGAAAUGAAGGUUCUAUUUUCCAUGCAGCCACGAUAUUUCUUUUUUUUUUUUUGGUAAGGAUGACUCCCCAUAAGGGAAUUGGGACUCUGUAAUAAGGUGGUCUCUGGAUAUGCUUUGUUUCAUUACUAAUAACUGAGCGGUGCAUGCGUGUAUACCUAAUAAGUGACUCUGUAAUAAGGUGGUGUUUGGCAGCUAUGAUUUUUUUUAAGAAAAAAAUCAUACUCCUCUGUCCAAAGAGACUGCAUAUUAUAAGCUCUGCAGUAAAAAAGUUUAGUUAUAUUUUGUGUA